AACGAACGCUGGCGGCAUGCCUAACACAUGCAAGUCGAACGAGACCUUCGGGUCUAGUGGCGCACGGGUGCGUAACGCGUGGGAACCUGCCCUUAGGUUCGGAAUAACUCCCCGAAAGGGGUGCUAAUACCGGAUAAUGUCUUCGGACCAAAGAUUUAUCGCCUUUGGAUGGGCCCGCGUUGGAUUAGCCAGUUGGUAGGGUAAAAGCCUACCAAGGCGACGAUCCAUAGCUGGUCUGAGAGGAUGAUCAGCCACACUGGGACUGAGACACGGCCCAGACUCGUACGGGAGGCAGCAGUGGGGAAUCUUGGACAAUGGGCGAAAGCCUGAUCCAGCAAUGCCGGGAGAGUGAUGAAGGCCUUAGGGUUGUAAAGCUCUUUUACCCGGGAUGAUAAGGACAGUACCGGGAGAAUAAGCCCCGGCUAACUCCGU
rnacentral:rRNA from 1 species